AUUGAACGCUGGCGGCAGGCCUAACACAUGCAAGUCGAACGAGUGGCGAACGGGUGAGUAAUGUAUCGGAAACUGCCCGAUGGAGGGGGAUAACUACUGGAAACGGUAGCUAAUACCGCAUACCAUUGGAUGAGCCCAGAUGGGAUUAGAUAGUAGGUGGGGUAAUGGCUCACCUAGGCGACGAUCCCUAACUGGGCUGAGAGGAUAACCAGCCACACUGGAAAUGAGACACGGCCACAACUCCUACGGGCGGCAGCAGUGGGGAAUAUUGCGCAAUGGGCGCAAGACUGAUGCAGUCAUGCCGCGUGUAUGAAGAAGGCCUUCGGGUUGUAAAGUACUUUCAGCGAGGAGGCGUUACUCGCAGAAGAAGCACCGGCUAACUACGUGCCAGCAGCCGCGGUAAUAC
rnacentral:rRNA from 1 species